rfam:Thermoactinomyces sp. DSM 45891 genome assembly, contig: Ga0066384_108
GAAUCCCUGAGAUGUUCGUGUGUAAACCGUAAUUUUGAGCCAACAUUUUUACUGCGGGAGCUUGUGUCAGUGUUUGGAAAGGAAGCCAUCAUCUAGGUGGAACCUUGAGACUCACUGCAGAGCACCCACCUGCUAGAGAGCAGGUUCAAAAUUGCGGUGCCACGGCAUAAUGGGGCUUUU